UCAUAUGCUUGUCUCAAAGCUUAAGCCAUGCAAGUGUAAGUUCACGCCACGCUUUAGAACGGGCGAAACCGCGAAUGGCUCAGGAACCGGACCUAAUCCUCGGGACCGUAAUCCUCCUCGGAGGCGAUGGAUAACUGUGGCAAUUCUAGAGCUAAUACAUGUGACACAAGCCGCGAUCGGUCGUCGCGUCGUGGUCGCCUCGCCUCGCGCGCUGGCACCCGCGGCGGCCGUCUUGGGUCGCGGCGCUACAUAUUAGACUGAGACCGAUGCGCGAUUCCCGGCCUCCCGUGCCGUUCGUUCCCUCGCGGUUCGUUCGGUCGGGACCMAAGGUCGGCGCGCUCCGCUUUGGUGACUCUGGAUAACUCACUGGUCGAUCGCACGGGCUUCCACGCCCGGCGACGGGUCCCCCGAGGGUCCGCCCUAUCAACUGUCGACGGUCGGUUAAGUGCCUACCGUGGUUACUACGGGUAACGGGGAAUCGGGGUUCGAUUCCGGAGAGGGAGCAUGCGAAACGGCUACCACAUCCAAGGAAGGCAGCAGGCGCGCAAAUUACCCACUCCCGGCACGGGGAGGUAGUGACGAAAAAUAACGACGCGGGACUCUGUCGAGGCCCCGCGAUCGGAAUGAGUACACUUCAAAUCCGUUAACGAGGACCAACCGGAGGGCAAGUCUGGUGCCAGCAGCCGCGGUAAUUCCAGCUCCGGUAGCGUAUAUUAAAGUUGUUGCGGUUAAAAAGCUCGUAGUCCGAACUCGGGUUCGUGGUCGCUCGCGCGGCCCCGGGGCGGCGGCGCCAUCGUCCAUCGUUGACUUUGGUCGUCCGUUCGCAUUCCCGGCCCUUUCCGCCGGUGUCGACCGCUGCAUGUCGGGKUGGGUGGCAGUCGGUGUGSGUYGCGUUCGCGCUUGUGCGCCGGCCACGCGCCCUCGCCGUCGGCGGUCUCUCCUCCAAGGGUGCUCUUAACCGAGUGUCCGCGGCGGCCGGUACGUUCACUUUGAAAAAAUUAGAGUGCUCAGAGCGGGCUGUUCAAGCUUGCAUACGAUAAGCAUGGAAUGAUGGAAGAGGGCCUCGUCUACGUCUGUCGGUCUCCGUCUACGGCGAGGCAAUGAUCGAAGGGAGCGGUCGGGGCCACUCGUAUUGCGACGUUAGAGGUGAAAUUCUUGGAUCGUCGCAAGACGAACUGCAGCGAUGGCGUGUGGCAAGCACGUUUUCCUCGAUCAAGAGCGAAAGUCGGAGGUUCGAAGACGAUCAGAUACCGUCGUAGUUCCGACCGUAAACGAUGCCGACCGGCGAUCCGCCGGCGUUCGCUUCCAUGACCCGGCGGGUAGCCUGCGGGAAACCAGAGUUCGGUUCCGGGGGGAGUAUGGUUGCAAAGCUGAAACUUAAAGGAAUUGACGGAAGGGCACCACCAGGAGUGGAGCCUGCGGCUUAAUUUGACUCAACACGGGAAAACUCACCCGGUCCGGACACCGGUAGGAUUGACAGAUCGAUAGCUCUUUCUCGAUUCGGUGGGUGGUGGUGCAUGGCCGUUCUUAGUUGGUGGAGCGAUCCGUCUGGUUGAUUCCGAUAACGAACGAGACUCCGGCCUGCUAACUAGUGCGCCGAUGUGAGUGCGUCGCYUUCGGGCGUCGUGUGCGGGCCUCCGUGGGCCGGCURUCCUUAACCGGCGGUCGCGCCCUCGGGUCCGGGUCGGUUUCUCACGCACUUCUUAGAGGGACGGGUGGCAGAAAGCCACACGAGGCGGAGCGAUAACAGGUCUGUGAUGCCCUUAGAUGUCCGGGGCCGCACGCGCGCUACACUGGAGGUAUCAGCGGGGACUUCGCCCCGGCCCGAGAGGGUCGGGAAACCUCUCAACCACCUCCCGUGAUAGGGAUCGGGGCCUGUAACUAACCCCGUGAACGAGGAAUUCCCGGUAGGCGCGGGUCAACAGCCCGCGUCGAUCACGUCCCUGCCCUUUGUACACACCGCCCGUCGCUACUACCGAUCGAACGGUCCGGUGAGGUCCUCGGAUCUGGCCGACGACGCCGCCGGGUUGUGGUUUCGGCCGCGCCUCGGCGUUCGAUGCCUGGAGAAGACGACCGAACCCGAUCGUUUAGAGGAAGUAAAAGUCGUAACAAGGUUUCC
rnacentral:rRNA from 1 species